rnacentral:misc_RNA from 1 species
AAAGCUUGCUUUUCUUGAUUUUGGGAUGAUGAGUGAAACUCCUGAAGAAGCAAGAUUUGCUAUUAUUGGUCAUGUUGUUCACAUGGUCAAUCGGGAUUAUGAAGCGAUGGCUCGUGACUACUAUGCUUUAGACUUUUUGUCUCCCAAUGUGGAUGUUUCUCCAAUUGUACCAGCAUUACGAGACUUCUUCGAUGAUGCACUUAAUUCAACAGUAAGCGAACUUAACUUCAAAACACUUGUAGAUGGUCUGGGUGCUGUGUUAUAUCAAUAUCCCUUUAAUGUUCCGGCUUAUUACGCAUUGAUUUUGAGAUCUCUCACUGUUUUAGAAGGUUUAGCAUUAUAUGCUGAUCCUAAGUUUAAAGUACUGGCUGCUUCAUAUCCAUAUUUUGCUAAAAGGCUUCUUACAGAUCCUAAUCCAUAUCUGAGAGAUGCUCUCAUUGAGUUACUUUUCAAGGAUGGGAAAUUCAGGUGGAGUAGACUUGAAAACUUGCUUGUCCAGGGAAAGAAAGACAGGGACUUUUCUGCAAAAGAUGCGUUGCAACCUGUCCUGAAGUUGUUGUUGGGUCCAGAUGGUAAAGAAUUAAGGGAUUUGGUUAUCAAAGAAGCAAUCCGUGUCAGUGAAGCUAUUAUUCUGGGUUCAGCUAUUGAAUCAUUUAAUUCUGUUCCUGGUCCCAUGAGGACUUUUGUUUUCAAUGGAAAUGCAAGUGGUCCCUUUACAAUAAGUGCUGCUGAGCAACAGAGCUUAAUGGAACUUAGGGCACAGGUGAUCAAGAUAUGGGGACUAUUGCAAUCCUCAGAGAAUUUUGAUCCGAAUCUUUUGCAACCAAUUUUGCAGGUACUUCAAGAACCAGAAGCACGCAGUAUUGGAGGGCGCGUAGUUGGUGGAAUAUCUCAACGUCUUGCAGCGCGCUUACUGCAACAAGUUCUUCGUGCACCUGAAACAACUGCUGCUGCAUAAUUGUGUCCUGAACUUUAAUAUAAUGUAACUGUCCAUAAACAUAUUUUAACCUGUCAAAGGAAGGUCAUAUAGAAAAUAAAUCACAUCAGAUGCAACAAUCAAUAAUUCAAGGCAAUUGUCUUUUAAUUUCCUAAGUUGGGUUAAAUAUAAAAUCUAAAUGUGCUCGAGUUGCAGACAGGCAAGGAAGAUGUCUAGAACUCAGACAACUUAUAGAAAAAUCUCAAUACAUUUGGGGCUUAAUUACAUUCACUCUCGGAAGUUUUUUCAAUUACAAAAAUCUUGGGAUGUGUCAUUGUUCUUGGAUACAUUCCUUGGUGGUCAUUACUUAAUGGAAGGGAUGUGUCUGAGAGGUGGGAG